AUCAACGCUGGCGGCGUGCCUAACACAUGCAAGUCGAACGAGAAAGUGGGGGCAACCCCAUGAGUAAAGUGGCAGACGGGUGAGUAACACGUGAACAACCUACCCUCGAGUGUGGGAUAACACCGCGAAAGCGGUGCUAAUACCGCAUAAUAUCUUCGGGUCGCAUGAUUUGAAGAUCAAAAGCGCAAGUUGCUUGAGGAGGGGUUCGCGCCUGAUUAGCUAGUUGGUGAGGUAACGGCCCACCAAGGCUUCGAUCAGUAGCCGGCCUGAGAGGGCGAACGGCCACACUGGAACUGAGACACGGUCCAGACUCCUACGGGAGGCAGCAGUGGGGAAUUUUGCGCAAUGGGCGAAAGCCUGACGCAGCAACGCCGCGUGGAGGAUGAAGGCCUUCGGGUCGUAAACUCCUGUCAGUAGGGACGAAUGCCUCGCAAGAGGUUUGACUGUACCUGCUGAGGAAGCCACGGCUAACUCCGUGCCAGCAGCCGCGGUAAUACGGAGGUGGCAAGCGUUGUUCGGAAUUACUGGGCGUAAAGGGCGCGUAGGCGGUAUUGCAAGUCAGAUGUGAAAGCCCCGAGCUUAACUCGGGAAUUGCAUCUGAAACUGCUUUGCUUGAGUCCUGGAGGGGGUAGUGGAAUUCCCAGUGUAGCGGUGAAAUGCGUAGAUAUUGGGAGGAACACCUGCGGCGAAGGCGGCUACCUGGACAGUGACUGACGCUGAGGCGCGAAAGCUAGGGGAGCGAACGGGAUUAGAUACCCCGGUAGUCCUAGCUGUAAACGAUGGGCACUUGGUGUUGGGGGUAUUGAGUCCCUCGGUGCCGGAGUUAACACGUUAAGUGCCCCGCCUGGGGAGUACGGUCGCAAGACUGAAACUCAAAU
rnacentral:rRNA from 1 species